rnacentral:rRNA from 1 species
UACGUAGGGUGCAAGCGUUAAUCGGAAUUACUGGGCGUAAAGCGUGCGCAGGCGGUUUUGUAAGUCUGUCGGGAAAUCCCCGGGCUUAACCUGGGAACUGCAUUGGUGACUGGCAGGCUUUGAGUGUGGCAGAGGGAGGUAGAAUUCCACGUGUAGCAGUGAAAUGCGUAGAGAUGUGGAGGAAUACCGAUGGCGAAGGCAGCCUCCUGGGCCAACACUGACGCUCAUGCACGAAAGCGUGGGGAGCAAACAGG